rnacentral:rRNA from 1 species
UGGGGGAAUAUUGGACAAUGGGGGGAACCCUGAUCCAGCGACGCCGCGUGAGUGAAGAAGUAUUUCGGUAUGUAAAGCUCUAUCAGCAGGGAAGAAAGAAAUGACGGUACCUGACUAAGAAGCCCCGGCUAACUACGUGCC